UGAUAACAUUAUACAAAACAGGCAAUGAUAACAUUGAUAACAUUAUACAAAACAGGCAAUGAUAACAUUGAUAACAUUAUACAAACAGGCAAUGAUAACAUUGAUAACAUUAUACAAACAGGCAAUGAUAACAUUGAUAACAUUAUACAAAACAGGCAAUGAUAACAUUGAUAACAUUAUACAAACAGGCAAUGAUAACAUUGAUAACAUUAUACAAACAGGCAAUGAUAACAUUGAUAACAUUAUACAAAACAGGCAAUGAUAACAUUGAUAACAUUAUACAAACAGGCAAUGAUAACAUUGAUAACAUUAUACAAACAGGCAAUGAUAACAUUGAUAACAUUAUACAAACAGGCAAUGAUAACAAACAGGCAAUGAUAACAUUGAUAACAUUAUACAAACAGGCAAUGAUAACAUUAUACAAACAGGCAAUGAUAACAUUGAUAACAUUAUACAAACAGGCAAUGAUAACAUUGAUAACAUUAUACAAAGAACUUAAAAGAAACACACAUUGAUUGUUUUAACGGCUUUCUCAUCAGAAGAAUGUAGGAUGGUCUUCAUGUACUGCUCGAAUUCCUUAAAGAAAACAUGGAAGUAUGGUUUGUUAUUAGUGAAUUUAUGUAUAUGAUAUUUGGACAUUAGCAUAAUUAGAUUUGAGGUAAAAAUUGGUUUUCCUUAUCCUUAUUAGAGUUAAGGAAACCGAGCAGCACAUUCUCCCAUAAAAAAAAAACAAAAGUAAAUCAAAAACGAUGAAUAUCUUGUCAUUUCUUUACAUGUAGACAACGCAAUAAUAAAUGCACAACUGUUUCUGGAUGCUCAACACAAAGUACAGUUUGUGUUAAUGUAUUUUUUUUUAAAUAGUUUCUGCAGGUAAUCAUUCACAGGGUCAUACUUAUGGAUCAUUCUGAAAGAGAGACCUCUUUCACCUUGUUAAACAAGCAGGUAUUUGUGUGGUAAUAACCAGACUUUUUCCCCCCCACCAACAGACAUUAUUGACAAAUGUAUUCCAGUUAAGUUGUGACAUUUUUAUUUACCUUUAUUUAACUAGGCAGUUAAGAACAAAUUCGUAUUUACAAUGACGGCCUAGGAACAGUGGGUUAACUGCCUGUUCAGGGGCAGAACGACAGAUUUGUACCUUGUCAGCUCGGUGGUUUGAACUUUGCAACCUUCCGGUUACUAGACCAACGCUCUAACCCUGCCGCCCCACAUAAGGAAUGGAUUCAAAAUAUCCCGUUCUGAGGGAACAAGGAGAAACAUAUUUUCCCUAUUGGAGAGUCAACUGGAUUAAGGAGGGCAGGUCAAGAAGGUGAAAUUUGGCUACACCUCUAAAUAACAUGAGAGUUCCAGAUGGAAUAGCAUCAAAGACUACGGAGAACUCUCUAGGUGUGUAAAGGAUACUGUAACGAAAUAAAAAAAAUCCUCAUAAUUGAGUAACAAUCAUUCUGCAUUAAUAUUAUCAACGGACACCUCCUGGUGACCCUGUAGGAGUCAUGUCCAACCGCGUCAUCAGGAUGGAUCAGCCAAUCGUGAAGAAAAUCUACAAACAAAAAUGAGAUUGAAGCAAUGGUGCUGCCACAGAAGCAAUAAUGGUACAAGAUAAGUCCUCUAUCUAUAUGGUUGCAACCUGCCAACCUAGGAUCGAUAAACCAAUCAGCAGUAUGGAUUGAAACGUGUCGUUUUUAAAUGCACAUUUUUAUUUCACCUCUAUGGGAUCAGUGUCCCUAAACUGGCCCUAAUGGGACUAGAAUGAAGAAAGUAACAGCCAACUUUCCGGGACAUUGACAUGUCUUAUAUAUGGGCAGAAAGCUUAAAUUCUAGUUAAUCCACCUGCAAUGUCCAAUUUACAGUAGCUAUUACAGUGAAAAAAAAUACCAUGCUAUUGUUUGAGGAGAGUGCACAACAACAAAACACAUCACGGCAACUGGGUUUGAUAGAUUCACCUCUGAAGGUAAAUAAUGUACUUUACAAUGCAGUAGUCUUGCUCUGAUUUAAUCUGACAAUUAAUCUUAAUGGUUGUACAGUCGUCUCAAAUAAAACUGUGAAGGACCUCGGCGUUACUCUGGACCCUGAUCUCUCUUUUGAAGAACAUAUCAAGACCAUUUCAAGGACAGCUUUUUUCCAUCUACGUAACAUUGCAAAAAUCAGAAACUUUCUGUCCAAAAAUGAUGCAGAAA
ensembl:lncRNA